GUUUGAUUAUGGCUCAGGAUCCNUUCUGGCGGUCUGCUUAACACAUGCAAGUCGAACGAACUCUUCGGAGUGAGUGGCGGACGGGUGAGCAACGCGUGAGAAUCUGCCUGUGGGUCGGGGACAACUACUGGAAACGGUGGCUAAUACCGGAUGAGCCGAAAGGUAAAAGAUUUAUUGCCCACAGAUGAGCUCGCGUCUGAUUAGCUAGUUGGUAAGGUAAAAGCGUACCAAGGCGACGAUCAGUAGCUGGUCUGAGAGGAUGAGCAGCCACACUGGGACUGAGACACGGCCCAGACUCCUACGGGAGGCAGCAGUGGGGAAUUUUCCGCAAUGGGCGAAAGCCUGACGGAGCAAGACCGCGUGGGGGAGGAAGGUUUUUGGAUCGUAAACCCCUUUUGUCAAGGAAGAAGCUCUGACGGUACUUGACGAAUAAGCCUCGGCUAACUCCGUGCCAGCAGCCGCGGUAAUACGGAGGAGGCAAGCGUUAUCCGGAAUGAUUGGGCGUAAAGCGUCUGUAGGUGGCCAGCUAAGUCUGCUGUUAAAGAUCACAGCUCAACUGUGGGAAGGCAGUGGAAACUGGCAAGCUAGAGGUUGGUAGGGGUAAAGGGAAUUCCCGGUGUAGCGGUGAAAUGCGUAGGUAUCGGGAAGAACACCGGUGGCGAAAGCGCUUUACUGGGCCAGACCUGACACUGAAGGACGAAAGCUAGGGGAGCGAAAGGGAUUAGAUACCCCUGUAGUCCUAGCUGUAAACGAUGGAGACUAGGUGUAGCACGUAUCGACCCGUGCUGUAUCGUAGCCAACGCGUUAAGUCUCCCGCCUGGGGAGUACGCACGCAAGUGUGAAACUCAAAGGAAUUGACGGGGGCCCGCACAAGCGGUGGAGUAUGUGGUUUAAUUCGAUGCAACGCGAANAACCUUACCAGGGCUUGACAUGUCNCGAAUCUUGAUGAAANGUNGAGAGUGCCUUCNGGAGCGCGAACACAG
rnacentral:rRNA from 1 species